GGCCUGGUGGUGUAUGGUGCACAUCUGCUCUUUGUACGUGCGUAAGCUUGUAUAAGCAGGAGGACCUUGUUCGAUCCGAGGUGAGGUCG